UACGAAGGGGGCUAGCGUUGUUCGGAAUUACUGGGCGUAAAGCGCGCGCAGGCGGUUCUCCAAGUCAGUGGUGAAAGCCCGGAGCUCAACUCCGGAACUGCCAUUGAAACUGUUGAACUUGAGGACGAGAGAGGUAAGUGGAAUUCCCAGUGUAGAGGUGAAAUUCGUAGAUAUUGGGAAGAACACCAGUGGCGAAGGCGGCUCACUGGCUCGUAUCUGACGCUCAGGCGCGAUAGCGUGGGGAUCAAACAGG
rnacentral:rRNA from 1 species